rnacentral:rRNA from 1 species
GACGAACGCUGGCGGCGUGCUUAACACAUGCAAGUCGAACGGAAAGGCCCUGCUUUUGUGGGGUGCUCGAGUGGCGAACGGGUGAGUAACACGUGAGUAACCUGCCCUUGACUUUGGGAUAACUUCAGGAAACUGGGGCUAAUACCGGAUAGGAGCUCCUGCUGCAUGGUGGGGGUUGGAAAGUUUCGGCGGUUGGGGAUGGACUCGCGGCUUAUCAGCUUGUUGGUGGGGUAGUGGCUUACCAAGGCUUUGACGGGUAGCCGGCCUGAGAGGGUGACCGGCCACAUUGGGACUGAGAUACGGCCCAGACUCCUACGGGAGGCAGCAGUGGGGAAUAUUGCACAAUGGGCGGAAGCCUGGUGCAGCAACGCCGCGUGCGGGAUGACGGCCUUCGGGUUGUAAACCGCUUUCGCCUGUGACGAAGCGUGAGUGACGGUAAUGGGUAAAGAAGCACCGGCUAACUACGUGCCAGCAGCCGCGGUGAUACGUAGGGUGCGAGCGUUGUCCGGAUUUAUUGGGCGUAAAGGGCUCGUAGGUGGUUGAUCGCGUCGGAAGUGUAAUCUUGGGGCUUAACCCUGAGCGUGCUUUCGAUACGGGUUGACUUGAGGAAGGUAGGGGAGAAUGGAAUUCCUGGUGGAGCGGUGGAAUGCGCGGAUAUCAGGAGGAACACCAGUGGCGAAGGCGGUUCUCUGGGCCUUUCCUGACGCUGAGGAGCGAAAGCGUGGGGAGCGAACAGGCUUAGAUACCCUGGUAGUCCACGCUGUAAACGGUGGGUACUAGGUGUGGGGUCCAUUCCACGGGUUCCGUGCCGUAGCUAACGCUUUAAGUACCCCGCCUGGGGAGUACGGCCGCAAGGCUAAAACUCAAAGGAAUUGACGGGGCCCCGCACAAGCGGCGGAGCAUGCGGAUUAAUUCGAUGCAACGCGUAGAACCUUACCUGGGUUUGACAUGGAUCGGGAGUGCUCAGAGAUGGGUGUGCCUCUUUUGGGGUCGGUUCACAGGUGGUGCAUGGCUGUCGUCAGCUCGUGUCGUGAGAUGUUGGGUUAAGUCCCGCAACGAGCGCAACCCUUGUUCACUGUUGCCAGCACGUUAUGGUGGGGACUCAGUGGAGACCGCCGGGGUCAACUCGGAGGAAGGUGGGGAUGACGUCAAGUCAUCAUGCCCCUUAUGUCCAGGGCUUCACGCAUGCUACAAUGGCUGGUACAGAGAGUGGCGAGCCUGUGAGGGUGAGCGAAUCUCGGAAAGCCGGUCUCAGUUCGGAUUGGGGUCUGCAACUCGACCUCAUGAAGUCGGAGUCGCUAGUAAUCGCAGAUCAGCAACGCUGCGGUGAAUACGUUCCCGGG